rnacentral:rRNA from 1 species
AGUGAACGCUGGCGGUAGGCCUAACACAUGCAAGUCGAACGGCAGCGCAGUAAGAGCUUGCUCUUACGGGUGGCGAGUGGCGGACGGGUGAGGAAUACAUCGGACUCUACUUUUUCGUGGGGGAUAACGUAGGGAAACUUACGCUAAUACCGCAUACGACCUACGGGUGAAAGCAGGGGAUCUUCGGACCUUGCGCGAUUGAAUGAGCCGAUGUCGGAUUAGCUAGUUGGCGGGGUAAAGGCCCACCAAGGCGACGAUCCGUAGCUGGUCUGAGAGGAUGAUCAGCCACACUGGAACUGAGACACGGUCCAGACUCCUACGGGAGGCAGCAGUGGGGAAUAUUGGACAAUGGGCGCAAGCCUGAUCCAGCCAUACCGCGUGGGUGAAGAAGGCCUUCGGGUUGUAAAGCCCUUUUGUUGGGAAAGAAAAGCAGCAGGUUAAUACCCCGCUGUUCUGACGGUACCCAAAGAAUAAGCACCGGCUAACUUCGUG